CAUGAUUCCUGGAAUAAAAAUUAGAGCAAAUCCCAUCAUAAUCUAUGAUUAAAAUCAUAUUGAUAUAUUAAUUCUUUCUGUUCAUAAUUAAAGAAAUGUACAUGGAAUACUGAACAGUAUUUAUUACAUUUUCUAUCUUUCAGUGUAGUGUCUGAAUGCAUACGAAAGAGGCUUCAAUGUUCAUUUGAUUUCAGAUAGAUUCCAAGAGGCAAUGUUUCCCUGAAUCCCCAACAUUCAAAGGCACAUAGAUUUAGUAACAUACACAGAGGACUUUGGGGAAGCUUAUCUGUAUGUUUACCUAAAGGAGAGAGAAAAUUAGUUUUCUUCAAUGGAGUGACACUUGAUAUAUCAACUUCUUCAGGGUAGGUCUCAUGUUCAGAAGUAAUUGAUCAACAAAUAAUGGGCCCCGUGGUUUAUUUCUGUGCUUUGAUUUAAUUACAGUUUUGUAUUGGUAAUCCUUACAUUGUUUUCAUGAUUUGGGAUUUUUGUUAUACUACACUUUCAUUAGUUUUUUGAGAAAGUACUUAAGGGUAGGUGAGGAGUGAGGGGAAGAGGAUGUGGAAGUACCUGAGGGGAGGGAAGAAUAUAAUAACUAGUUCAAUUUUAAAAUUUAUUUAAAUAUAA
ensembl:lncRNA